AUUAAACUAGAUUAGAUUAGACUUUGUUUUCAUCCUUGAGGUAAAAUCCCGUGUGAUUACAGUACUGUAAAUAUAGCCUACGAAAUACAUAGUAUAAGAGAGCGAAUGAUAUCUUAACGACGCAUAAACAAUUGAACGACGGAAAUAGUAAAGCAAAUAACAAAAUUAUAAACGAAUAUACCACAAGUAGACAAAAAUAAAAUAAAUAAAUAAUGAAACAGACGCAGCAACGGAUCAGUGAUUAUAACGCACGCUAGUAAUACGGAAGGUAAGAAGUAGAUAAAAUAAAAAAAUACAGAUACAAAAAUGCAGGUGCAUAUAACAAGGAGAAGAGAUGAGGAGACGAGAGAGGCUUGAGCAUUCAAAAAAUCUGAGCAAGCUUUUAUAAAUUUUCUUUGAUAUGCGUAUAAUGAAUGCUAUAAUGAACGACAUUGAACGAGUGAUGCACACUGCAGAGAGAAGUGUAAACGCGUCAGAGUUUGCAAAUAACGCUUAAGCACAAACCUGGGCUCGAGUUGUGCAGUCUUCAGUAAAUUAAAGAGAGAGAAAGAGAGUAGAGGUACGAUUUGAGUUCCCAAGUCUGCCCAGGAAGAAGUCCUAAACAGACAACUAAUUUAAGAGAUCUACACCAUGUACGACGAAUGAGCGCUUCCAGGCCUAAAUCCAGAAGGCACGGAUGUGGAAGGCAAUUGGAGAGUUUCUUACGAAUCUGCGUGCCACAACGUUCCUCAAGAGCAGAGAUUCGUAGGCAGGUAGGAGAAAAUACCGAUAUCUAUAGACAGCUUUGUAGAGGAGAAUAGUCGGCGUAAGGUGCCUACAAGAGUUUAAGGUUAGUAAACCCAGUUUUAGUCGGUGAAAGAAGAUAUAAGUAGUAAGGUUAUUGCUUGGGAUGAAGGUGAUGAAGCCGUCCAUGAAAUUGAAGCAGGCGUUAUGAAUAAAUUGUAGCUCACCGAGAUGAGUCCUGUCAACAUCCAUGUAGAUGAUUGAAGUAUAAUUAUUAUGAGGCAGAACCAACAUCUGAACAAGGGUAGCUGACAGCAUGAUUUCCAGACUUUUAACGAUGGUCAAGUACGGGGUCCCUCUUGAAAAUAUUCAGUAAGUUCUUAUAUAAGAAUUUACUCGAUAAGGUGAACAAAGAAUUUCGUAGGAUGAGUGAAACUUCCUUUGAUCAUAAUCCUUAGAAUGGUGCCGAGGUUAGUUGAGGAAAUGUAGAGUUCGCAGUCCAGGAUGAUGACCUUCGUCUUCGUAAGGUUAAACGCCGUAGUCCAUUCGACGUCAGCUAAACAGCCACGCUUUGAGCAUACCGUUGCGCCCUAUCGAUGCCAUCAAGAAUAUCAUAGGGGAAACUAUGAACGUAUAUUUGAGUAUCAUUAGCAUAAAUCAUAUGUUUAGAAUAUAAUGGAGGACAUUUAAGAGGUCUUUGAUGUAUAUGACGAAUAAGAGGGGACCAAGGACGUUGCCCUAAGCCCCUCAGCCACUAGGAAAUGGUACUUGCCCCAUCAAUGAUUGUCUAAAACCUACCCACUAGAUAGUUAAAGAAUCAAAGAGAGAAAGAGAGAGAGAGAGAGAGAGAGAGAGAGAGAGAGAGAGAAGAAAACUUCGUGGAAAUAACCAAUCGUAGCAGCUGUACGUACCAGCAAUUUAUUUUCUCGUACUUUGGUACCAAAGUGGGUACGGUCAGAAAUUGUGUCGGAUAAAGGCUCGGGUAAUGUCCCUCAAAGUAGCAAUAAUAUCGUUUUCAAAACGCUCUACAAGAAUAACCUAGAGGGUUGGGUUGCUGGUACGUUGUUGGAUUCGAACUUUAGUAACAUGCUGUUUGUUCAUCAGCUGGUACAAUUUAAAAAAUUAAUUUAAUAAAAUAAUUUUCAUUGAAAAUGGUCUAAAUUUCUAGAAAGUUCCUAUAAGGUUCCGAUUAAUUUAUUCAAUAGAUGGCACAGUCUUUCUCGCAAGUGGUAGGAAAUUAUUAUAAUUAGUAUAUGUACAGUUUUCAAACGAUAUAUUGUAAAAAGAAAUGCGAAGAAGUUAAAUAUUUACAGUUACACUAGGAACUAUAAAUAUCUUUUCAUAUACGUAGGUUUAUUAAAAAAAUAUUUUAUUUACUAAUUAUAUUUUGAUAUAUACCCGCAUAGUUCCAGCUAUGUACCUAACACAUUUCCAAAAUUUGAAUCUGGCAACGUACGGACAACCGUUUAGGCAAUUAUUGCACAAUGUUCCGGCAUCUUUUUGCUACUUCAGAAGACAUUGUUUGCUGUUACUGUUAUAUUGCUCAUACAUUGCUCAUACUGUUACAUAUAUAGGAAAAUUUCUGACCAUACCUAUUUUGGUACUAAAGUACCAGAAAAAAUAUUGCCGGUACAUAGCACUGAGACUGAGACGCUAUAGAGCUCAACUUACUUUGUUAGAUCAUAUUAUAAUUAGUUGAAUUAUAUGUCUUGAAUAGGAAUCACCCGUAACCCACUGAUAAGUUCUAACGAUUGAAGAUGGGUUCGCAAAGACUUGAGCGAUAAUGACUGAUAAAUACGCUUAAAUCAUUGCAAUGGGAAGGUAGAGUAUGUUAACUUUAUCAUUAGAGCACGUGUACAUUAAGAAUUGAAAAAGAAUCGGCGCACAGGAAAAAAUGUAAUGUUGCAGUCUUAGUAUUAGAUUUCCAGCAUUGAAACUGUGAAGUCAAAUUAAAAGGCUAAACGUUAUUUUCAUGCAGUUUUAUACUCUUGCCUCUAUCCAAAUUUUACUUAAAAAAAAACCCUGAAGAAAAAGAAGACAAGUUUCUAUUAUUACAUUAUUGUAGCACCAAAGAUUAGAGAGACUUAAAAACUUGUCGCAUAUGAAUAACGUCGGCUUUUCGCCUUGACUUUAUAAGUAACCAGUACACGUGCAUUCCAAUGCUACAGCUCUAACGCCGAAGCUAUAAUGCUAUUCAUUCAAUGUUCGAUCAAAUGAUAACAUUUAAUCCUGUAAUGCUGCAAGUUCUGUAGAAAACAUCUUCGGCGUAGACUCUCAUUCUCGACGCGAACCGAAAGCGUAAGUAGCGAGACGAAAUAUAGUUCACUGCCGGUCACGUACUUUUAAACCCCCAAUCCCUAGGCAAAAUCAGACAAAUUUGUAGUUUUUUUAUCUCUGGAAUGACAUAACUUACAGAAAUGAGCCAGGAUUUGUU